AUGGCUGUCAACACAGACAUUUCUGGUUUGUCCACACCGUCUGUUUCCCCUGCAUCAUCUCCUUCCGGGAAUGGUGGAAGUAGCACGUCCUCUUCAAGUCCUGGCCAGCUGUCUACCACUCCCCGUGUCUCACCACAGACGACCACGUACCCCCUGGAGGGAUCCACUGGGUCUGCAGACACUUCUGCUUCUGGGAAUCCUACACUUACUUCGGACAGUGUGUCUACCAAGAGCAACAGCUUUUCCACUUCCACAGGCAGGCUGAGUGAAUCCUCUCCCACUGGAGGUGACCAGGGACACACCACCACACCUCCUCCUCCAGGAUCGACCUUCUACACAGCCACCACAGAGGCAUCCACAGCCACACCUCCUACUCUCCCUUCCACCAGUACAGAGAAGGCACGUACUGCCUCCUCAUCAAGCCACAGUGCGCUGUCCACGCCCACCGUGCUCUCUGAGCAAAGCACCCCAACUCUCACAUGGGAGUCAACCAUCUACUCCACCACUUCAGCUCCAAGUGAAUCAACAGUUUCUACCUCCCCUGGCUCGCAGACCCCAGAAACUGGUACUUCUCCAGCCAUGACAAGCCCCAGUGCCGUGUCUUCGCCCACUGUGCUGUCCGAGCAAAGCACCUCAACUCUCUCAGAGGAGUCAACCAGCUACUCUACUGUUUCUGCUCCAUCUGAACCAACAGUUUCUACAUUCCCCAGCUCACAGACACCCGGAACUGGUACCUCUGCAGCCCGAUCAACCGUCAGUGUGCUGUCCACGCCCACUGUGCUCUCUGAGCAAAGCACCCCAACUCUCACAGGGGAGUCAACCAUCUACUCCACCACUUCAGCUCCAUCUGAAUCAACAGUUACUACCUCCACCAGCUUGAAGACCCCAGAAACGGGUACUUCUCCAGCCCCAUCGAGCCCCAGGGCGCUGUCUACACCCACUGCGCUCUCCGAGCAAAGCACCUCAAUUGUCCUGGAGGAGUCAACCAUCUACUCCACCACUUCAGCUCCAAGUGAAUCAACAGUUUCUACCUCCCCUGGCUCACAGACCCCAAAAACUGGUACUUCUCCAGCCAUGACAAGCCCCAGUGCCGUGUCUUCGCCCACUGUGCUGUCCGAGCAAAGCACCUCAACUCUCUCAGAGGAGUCAACCAGCUACUCUACUGUUUCUGCUCCAUCUGAACCAACAGUUUCUACAUUCCCCAGCUCACAGACACCCGGAACUGGUACCUCUGCAGCCCGAUCAACCGUCAGUGUGCUGUCCACGCCCACUGUGCUCUCUGAGCAAAGCACCCCAACUCUCGCUGAUGAGACAACCAGCUACUCUACUGUUUCUGCUCCAUCUGAAUCAACACUUUCUACAUUCCCCAGCUCGCUGACCCCAGAAAUUGGUACCUCUGCAGCCCGAUCAACCGCCACUGCACUGUCCACGCCCACCAUGCUCUCUGAGCAAAGCACCCCAACUCUUGCAGGGGGGUCAACCAUCUAUUCCACCGUUUCGGCUCCAUCUGAAUCAACAGUUACUACCUCCCCCAGCUCGCAGACCACAAAAUCCAGUACUUCUGCAGCCCCGUCAAGCCCCAGUACACUGUCCACCACCACCGUGCUCUUUGAGCAAAGCACCCCAACUCUCACAGGGGAGUCAACCAUCUACUCCACCACUUCAGCUCCAUCUGAAUCAACAGUUACUACCCGCUCCAGCUUGAAGACCCCAGAAACGGGUACUUCUCCAGCCCCAUCAAGCCCCAGGGCGCUGUCUACACCCACUGCGCUCUCCGAGCAAAGCACCCCAACUGUCCCAGAGGAGUCAACCAUAUACUCCACCAUUUUGGCUCCAUCUGAAUCAACUGUUCCUACAUCCCCCAGCUCUCAGACCCCAGAAACUGGUACUUCUGCAGCCCCGUCAAGCCCCAGUGUGUUGUCCACGCCCACUGUGCUCUCUGAGCAAAGCACCCCAACUCUUGCAGAGGAGUCAACCAGAUACUCUACUGUUUCGGCUCCAUCUGAAUCAGCAGUUUCUACCUCUGCCAGCUCGCAGACCCCAGAAUCCCAUACUUCUGCAGCCCCGUCAAGCUCCAGUGCACUGUCUACACCCACCGUGCUCUCUGAGCAAAGCACCCCAACUCUCGCCGAUGAGCCAACCAUCUACUCUACCACUUCGGCUCCAUCCGAAUCAACAGUUUCCACCUCUCCCAGCUCGCAGACCCCAGAAACUGGCACUUCUGCAGCCCUGUCUAGCCCCACUGCGCUGUCCACACCCACCGUGCUCUCUGAGCAAAGCACCCCAACUCUCGCAGGGGAGUCAACCAUCUACUCCACCAUUUCAACUCCACCUGAAUCAACAGUUUCUACCUCCCCCAGCUCUCAGACCCCAGAAACUGGUACUUCUGCAGCCCCGUCAAGCCCCAGUGUGUUGUCCACGCCCACUGUGCUCUCUGAGCAAAGCACCCCAACUCUUGCAGAGGAGUCAACCAGAUACUCUACUGUUUCGGCUCCAUCUGAAUCAGCAGUUUCUACCUCUGCCAGCUCGCAGACCCCAGAAUCCCGUACUUCUGCAGCCCCGUCAAGCUCCAGUGCACUGUCUACACCCACCGUGCUCUCUGAGCAAAGCACCCCAACUCUCGCCGACGAGCCAACCCGCUACUCUACCACUUCGGCUCCAUCCGAAUCAACAGUUUCCACCUCUCCCAGCUCGCAGACCCCAGAAACUGGCACUUCUGCAGCCCUGUCUAGCCCUACUGCGCUGUCCACACCCACCGUGCUCUCUGAGCACAGCACCCCAACUCUUGCAGAGGAGUCAACCAGCUACUCCACCAUUUCAACCCCAUCUGAAUCAACAGUUUCUAUGUCCCCCAGGUCGCAGACCCCAGAAACUGGUGCUUCUGCAGCCACGACAAGCCCCAGUGCAGUGUCUACGCCCACUGUGCUCUUCGAGCAAAGCACCUCAACUCUUGCAGAGUCAACCAGCUACUCUACUGUUUCUGCUCCAUCUGAAUCAACACUUUCUACAUUCCCCAGCUCGCUGACCCCGGAAACUGGCACCUCUGCAGCGCGAUCAACUGCCAGUGCACUGUCCACGCCCACCGUGCUCUCUGAGCAAAGCACCCCAACUCUCGCAGGGGAGACAACCAUCUACUCCACCAUUUCGGCUCCAUCUGAAUCAACUGUUUCUACCUUCCCCAGCUCACAGACCCCUGAAACUGGUACUUCUGCAGCCCCGUCCAGCCCCAGUGCGAUGUCUACACCCACCGUGCUCUCUGAGCAAAGCACCCCAACUCUCGCAGAGGAGUCAACCAGCUACUCUACUGUUUUGGCUCCAUCUGAAUCAACAGUUUCUACCUCCCCUGGCUCACAGACCCCAGAAACUGGUACUUCUGUCACCCCAUCAAGCCCCAGUGCACUGUCUACAUCUUCUGUGCUCUCUGAGCAAAGCACCACAACUCUGUCAGAGAAGUCCACCAUCUACUCCACCGUUUCUGCUGCAUCUGAAUCAACAUUUCCUAACUCCCCCAGCUCGCAGACCCUAGAAACUGAUACUUCAACAGCCCCAUCAAGCUCCCGUGUGGUGUCUAUCCCCACUGUGAUCUCUGACGUGACCGAUGGAAGUCUCACCAUUUCUACUUCCAUCCCUUCUACCACCAAAAGACCUAGUCCUGCCACCUCUUCUGGUGUCACUCCAUCUUCUACAACUAGAGCCAUCUUUGGACCAGCAUCCACCACCCUCAAUGGAGGAUCUACAGUCUCCAAAAGCAGCCCAGAUUCACGAAACACAACAGUUUCAUCUGACAGCUCCCCAACUGAAUACCCUCGUGCUUCUUCUUCCGCCUCACCUAUCCCUGUUUUCUCCUCCACACCAGUCUCUGACUUUCCUUCAGCCAUUGCACCUUCUUCUGGUGUUUCCCUUCCUCUCUCCUCCACUGCACCUGGGUCUACUCAUUCUCCAGUCCCUGAGUUCAAUACCAUUUCAACCCUCUAUCCCUCAUUCACUAGCACCCACACAACUGUUAUGACAAGUCACUCUCCAGCUACAAAACCAAGUAAGUCCCUUUCUAUGUCUCUCUGUGGGCCUCUCCUGUCCACCUUCCCUCACCAGCUAAUCAGCUUUUACAUCUUGUGGUUUUGUUCCAGCCUUCCAGUACUUUCUUGUUGCUAUGUACAUCAUCCAUGCAGAUGGAUGCUGUUCUCUUUUUAUUUGUAG
rnacentral:lncRNA from 1 species